rnacentral:lncRNA from 1 species
AACUUAUUGAUGCUAAUUUAAUUAACCCUCAUAUAGAUCAUUUAAUACUACAACCAAUUGCAAACAAGACCAAAUACCCUUUUCAAGGUGGUCCCUCACGAGUAACCUCGAGACAUAGAACUCUCUUACAAUCCACAAACACACGAAAAUAUAGAGAUAGUAGUGUCUUCUUCCUCCUCUUCCUCUUGUUAAAUUAUUGAGGGGCAAUGGUGGUCCUCUCUUUAUUUUGUAGUAUUGUCCCAAAUUAAUUGAUCCUGCAAGAACCACAAAAACAUAUGAUAAAAUUAGGUAAAUAAUAGAAGGAAGAUGCUAAAAGGAGAAAUUAACAUAGUUCAUUGUUAUCAUAAUCAGACCGGUUACUGGAUUGGUCUAGUCCGGGAGCGAUUAGAACUUGAACCGGACUAAUUGGGCGGCUAACUGAAUUAAUUGGUUCGAUAUAUUUUUUUUAAAAAAAGGGUCAAAACCCAAAAAAAAAAUAAAAAAUAGAAGAAGAAAAACAUAGAUUACGUGUAUAUUAUCUUAUUACCUACAUUUAUCUUAUAAAAAUAAAUUUGAAACAAUGUUUUAUAUAAAUUAAUAUAUGAAUACUAUGGACAUAUAUAAGACAAUUUGGAAUUUGACAUUAAAAUUCAAUUGAUGGAGUUACAAAGUCCAAUUUAGAAUUUGUAUGAAGUAAAUGACCAAUAAAACUAAUGUUGAGAUUGCCCUCAUGAUAAUAAGUUAACAUCAAUUAAAACCCUAUAUAGGAAUAAAAAUAAAUUUUGGGAAAUAGAUUGUCCUAAUCCUAUAUUUAGAAAUACAGCAAUCAAUAGUUAAAAUGAAAAUAGAAACACAUCAUGAAUAUAGGGAGACAAGAGGAAAAAAAACAGCAAAAUACAUAAAUUUGACACGUGUGAUGGUACACGAAAAAAAAAGACUCCUAAUCAAUCUAACAACAAUCAGUAGUUCGGUACAAUGAUUUAGUAGAUUAGCUUAACUAUAUACAAAGUUUCUAUUAGAAACAUUUUUUUUUAUAUAUAAUUUUUAUUAGAAACACAUAAACAAGUAUUUACCCAAAAAAAAAACACAUUAAGAAGUAAAUUGAAGAUAAUUAUUUCAAAUAUAAAAAAUUUACAUAGUUAUAUUUUUAGCAAAAUAAAGUGGUAAACAAUUAAACAAACAACUAAAAAUUCAUAUUUUCAAAAAAAAUACUAAAUGAAAAGUCACAUGAAAUUCAAACAUGUGAUCUCAAUUGUAAAAAUCAAGUC